GGGCUAGUGGUGUAGUGGUCACACACCCUCUCAUGAUACCGAGAUAAAUAUGCCAUCUUGAGGGAGCCCCUUGUUUGAUUCAAGGCUAGUCCA